GACAAUGCAGUGAACAAUGGAUUGGGAAAGGAAUUUCCAGAAGCCUGCUUAGCAUUCAUGAAAGAAGGUUAAAUUGAGGUGCUCAUGUUGUGCAAGAGAUCAGAGAUGCAGGCUGGGGAGACAAUGCAAAUCUUUCUGAGGAUCUAUUUGAAACCAGGACUACACUCAAAGCACUGAUGAGCCAAAGGAUUUUAUCUGAGGCAUUUUCUUCCUUGCAGAGUCGUACAGAAUCUGUACCUGGGAUGUGUUUCUGAUGAGAAUUAUGAACUCUCCUGCUGAGAGUGUGAGCAUACACGAUGGUGCUAAGCAACUGAACACAUGCAGAAAUGGUCAAG